GACAGACACCAAAGAAAGGUUUGGACUGCAGUAUGUGGAGCCUGGUUGUCGUCCUGUCCCCUUGGACUGGGACAAGCACAAGUCCCAGAAGGUACCUGUUGCAUGGGAGGGAGAGCAUCAGUCCUCAUAACCGUCUGCUCUCAGUGAGAGAUUCCCACCUCAUGACCCACCUGAGGAGCUGAGGGGGGAACACUUUGCUCAGCCUGGGCAGCCCACCAAAGUAAAAGAUGAGAUGACACCACCACUGCCUUUUGCUUUUGCUCCCUCUCCACGAGCUGCUCGCACAGGUCCCAUCAAGGCAGGCGGGCUACUUUUUGUCCUGGACCAUUUUCGGUGGACACAGCCCAUGAGGGAUUCCAUUGAUGGCCUUCUGGCAAAGUACCAUGGGCAGAAAGACCUUCUCACCCAGGUGGAUGCGGAGUAUGCUGCCCUUGUGCAGGCUGCCUCCAGGGAUCCCAAUAGCCUCUUACACCCCACCACGAAACAGCAUAUCUCACGUUAUGUGAAACACCUGGCCAAGAUGACGAACACAAGUUCAUCCCUGAACACCAGUUCAGAGAAACUCCUGGAGACCCAGCAGCUGUGGCAUCACCUCACAGAAGGUAGUGAAACUGUAAGUGUUCCAGUGGUAACCCUCCCACCUGCCCCAGUGAACCCACCCAGUAAUAAGCCCCAGGAGUUUCCGCUAACUAAAAAAUAUAACUCUGUAUCUUGUUUGUUAUGGAUGAAUGUCACAUGCUGAAACCACUGUGGCAUGUUCCUGCCUUAUUUGUCUUUUUUUUUUUUUGUACUUUAGAAUGCCAUGUUGACUCCAUGCAGGAUUGUAAAAUGUAAAAAGUCUGCUUAACUUUUACUGUUAUAUAUGCAUCAU